rnacentral:snoRNA from 12 species
CAGCGAACUAUUCUCGCCUGUUCGACCAGUUGGUGGUCAGAUCAGGGCUAGUCGUUCGCUAGAUUAAUACCAACACGAGAGUUAGCAGACCUGACGUUUAUGCCUCGUCUGUUCUCAUCCUGCACCCGUUGGUUACAGUU